ensembl:lncRNA
GAGAUUCUCACCUGAGUCUCUCUGAGCAUCAGACUUAUCUUCUCUAAAACAGUAACUUCUAUUCAGCAGGACUAUUGUGAAGAUUAGUGAUGUAAGGCUGUACAACCCUGGUUCCUUUAAGUGCUCCUCACGUGAACAUUUUAGAGUUCAAGCCAUAUCAGAACUAAGAAGAGACUGUUAAGUUUAGCAGUUAUUGGUUCAGUGGUGACUUUCCAUAAGAGGUGUGUUUGAAUCACAGCGGACCUCCUGUUGGAGAGGUAGUAUGGAGGAAAAGGAAGAGGAUGAGGAAGAGGAGGGCUGCACUUGGGGGUCGGACGACCCCGCUUUGAAUCUUUGCUCCACAGUAAAUCUCCUACAUAUGAACCUUCAAGUUGCGAAUUUUCAAAGAUGAGAACACAUGUUCCGUCAGUGUCAGGCGUGAGGGAAAUGGCAACUUGCCCUUCCUCUCCUAUUGCCGCUGAUCCUUCAACGCUACCAUCUCUCACCUCCUCUCCCUCCUCUGGUCGGUAACUCUUCUUCUCUGUUCAUUCAAUGUCAGCCCCUGUAUGCAAGCUGUUGUACUGU